GGGCUGGCGUGCAAGACAGUUUCCCAGCUGUACUGAACGCUUUAGGAUGGGAUCCCUUUGCAGACGCUAUGGACUGUAUGGAUUGUAUGAACAAUUACAGCAACCAGGAACCAUUGGAACGUAUUAUAUAUGGAGCAGUUUUUCCUGGAAAAUCCCCCAAGAGUUGUUAGACCAGCUGGGAGAUGUAAUCCCUCCAGCACGUCCUGGGUGUACCCUGAGGUCAACCGAUCAUGCCUGGAACAUCUCCAGUCGGACACACCCAUGGAGCACUUUUACCAGGAGUCUGAACCACCUCAACUGGCAGCUCUCAGUAUAAAGGAGCAUUGACAGGAGUCAACUGAAGACACAUGUACCCAUUCUUUGAUUAACUCACCAUACAGGCUGCUAUGUAUGAAGCCCCAGUGUUCAAUAUUAACUAAAUACAUUUUUCAACACUGGAAGUCUCACCUUGUUGACAACGUCAUUUGACUGACAUCAUCACAGAAUAAGACCCUCUCAUGCACUAACCCUUGCUGUGGAAAACCCUCACAUUGUGUGUGUUUGAAUGUCGAAAAAGUCCUUCAAGCAUUGAAUUUACACAUCACUAGGGUCCCAAAAUUGUUUCACAACCAUCUGUAUAUAUUUUAAAACCUGUACUUUAUUAAAGGACCUCUCAGACUUCACAAUGCCAAUUCAAGCUGAUUGUGAUCUGCAUUAUCCAGGAGGGCAUAGAGAGACCACUUUCUAUUUGUUCAUUCAUUCUUUUCACGUGUUCAGAUUUAAAAGAUGGGGGUGGGCCAUAAGGAAGUCGCUCUCUCUCUCCCACAGCCUAUAUCCUCGGGAAAUAGCUGUAAUCCAUUUGUAUAACAGCCAGUAAUACCAUCCAUGUAUUGGUAUAACAGCCCACUAUUCUUCAAAUUUUGACAGGUCCCUUACCUCCACCUGCACGUCUCAUAAUGAGAAAGGAAUCACUAAAGAUGGGUGACUCUCUUUUUAUCUGUGUUCACAUUCAACAUCUGGGGUUUGGGCCAUAGGGAGGUGACUUUUUUUUUCCCCACGGUAUCCCAUAUACACGGGAAAUAUCUGUAUUCCAUUUGUAUAUCAGCUCGCUGCUCGUCAAAUUUUGGCAGGUCCCUAACCUCCAAAAGCUCUUCUCAUAAUGAGAAAGGAUUCAAAGGCACGAUAAUUGACCGCUCUUUUGAUCAGUGAGGGCUCCAGCAAAAGAUCUCUAAAGUAACAUAAAAGCCCUUAAAUUUGUGGAGUAGAGACAAUUAAGAAAAGAAAAAUUAAUGCACAGCACAAAGCAACCAUUUUUCAUGGUCUUAACAAGGUUCAUUUUACUUCAGCAGUAUUUGUUUUUGAUGUAAAAUUUCUUGUAAGAAUAAGGUACAAAAUAGCCUACCAGGAUUCGAUGAAAACGAGGGGAGACUGAAUAGGCAAGGUGAGAAGCCCUAACUUUAACCAACUAUUCCAACUUUUAAUUAAAGCGUUUAUUGCUUAUAGAAAUUUAAGUUUGUGCGGAGAUCCACACUCCUCCUCAAAGGAAUUUAUCCCUGUGUCCCCAUAAGUAAGGAAUUUUCUUUUCUCUCAAUCAAUUUUUAUUUUAUUCUUAAAAUAGAUUGCACUUUUUUUUUCUACGAUUUCUUUCUUUUAGCAAUCACUAAGGAGCUGGAAGAUAUCUACUCCACACAUUCAGAAUACAGUACGCAUUCCUCUCUGUUUUUUUUUUUUAAAUUGCAACUUCAAGAAUAUUUACGAUAUUAAUUCAUAUUGUAAAAACUACUUGCAGAUUUAAUAGAAGCCAUGGAACACAAUUUCAAAGUAUAAAUCCUGUAGGAGCCAUCUGAGAUGAGAAUGAACGCAGUCACAGAGCGUAGCGUGUCCAUCUCUCAGCAGUUCCCUUUCUGAUAAAGGACCAGAUUCAGGUCAGGGAGCAGACACAUCCCCCAGUAACAUGGGGUCGAAAGGUUGGCGAGAGAGCCUGUUAGCAGCCUACUUGAAUUGGGCAAGCUGAUAAAACAUUAAACGAUCAGUUUUAUAAUAUGGGUUUAGCUUGCAUAUAGCCUGCUUGCCGCUUACAGGAUUUGAAUAAAUCUACUUCCUGUUGUCUACAGCGUAUGAGAGAGGGUACGUGGGAGUCUCUCCUAGCGACGUUUAACAUAUAAGUUAGGUAGGCAACACCAUCCGAGGCAGGGGGGUAGUAAUAGCGUCUCAAUUGGGUACAAUUGGUCUACGUUUUAAUGUACGCUAUAUGAUACUAAUGUGCUGAGGUAUUGAAAUAUGAUAGUAAUAAAAAGUCUGCUUUAAUACGAAUAAUAACUUACUAUCAUCAUCAGGUUACCCUAUUAGAAUGUUUGUCCUUUAUUUCUGUACUCUUUCAGCUAUAUAGAUUCUCAAUGGUCAGUGAGCCCCUUAAAACAGCUGCAUUUAAUUAGAUCCAUCGGAUGGGCGCAAGGAGAAUGGUCAGAGAGGCGGUACAAAGGAGAGAACAGAUUCAACUGUGUCAACAUGGAAUGCAGCUCAGGCAACGACAUCCCCCUGAACUCCAGAGAAGUGAAAGAGCCCGCUCCUACCAUUGGCAGCAGCAGAAUCUAGUCAAAGCACUCCUGAAAAUUAGCCAGACCUUUUUCUUUCACAAUUUCGGUGGUAUGUGAGAAGUUGCUUUAAAGUAAGGUGAUACAUUUUAACAUGGAUGAAGAAGUAGAGUUAGGGUCUUUUUUUGAUCUUUGUCAGUCCGAUGUAGUUCCGAUUGAAUUAGAGAGAGCCGCAGAAGAACUGAGCCAAAUUCCACUGGCUUUUCGGGUAGAAUUCUUCAAAAAAGCAUUCGCAGGUGAAAAUUCCUAUGACUUGAUCCUUUUGCAGAAAUCCAGAGAAUCUGUUAUGUUGAAAACUAUUUCCAUGCUAUACAAGAUGCUCUCCUACAUGUAAAUUGAACCCCAGUGUCCAACUGCUCGCAGCAAAAUGAAUCUGACGCUCAACCCUCCACCGCAGUUAGUGUGUUAUCACCCCCUUCUUCUCACUCAAUGCAAAUUGAAAUCAAUACUGAACCUCACUCUCUUCAUUCACCUCAAAAUGAUAUACAUUUAUACAAAGCAGAUCCCUCACUUUAUUUGACUCAAGCAACAUGGACAGCCUUCACGAUCUGGCCGAGCAAUCUCAAAGGCCAGACACAAUGAUGGGAUACAACUGGAGUUGAUAGGAAAAACGUGUUAAUUCACGUUUCUGUCACCGUCAUUGAGAGUGACACUGUCCUGUCAGCUUUUCAAGCCUUACUCUACCCGGUUAGUACAUUCAAACGUCAAUUAUGACGGACACUAGCCUAGAAUUUGUUGUGCGGUUCGUAUGGAAUCCCACAAGUGGUGGUAAAUGGAUGCAGGAGAAAAAAAUAUAGCCAACGAAAUCUUAGUUAAAAAAUCUGGCAUUUGUAUAUGCUCUGCUUUGCCAUCAGUUUAGUUAAUCUAAUCAAUUCUGUACCGAAAGCCAGGCUGCACAACUGGGGAGAGAGUUUCAAUGUCUCACUGAUUUGAACAAUCAGAUAGCUGUAACCUUUAGCGACAUCAACAAAUUUGAAAAGGUUCUGAAACGUAAAAUUGUGUUGUUUUACAGAGGCCCAGACAAUCGACCCCUUUUCUCAAUU